UCUCCGUAGGUGAACGUGCGGAGGGAUGAUUAUUGAGUGAGGGCUCACGCCCGACCUCCAACCCUUUGUGAACACAUCUUGUUGCUUCGGGGGCGACCCUGCCGGCACUCUGUCGCCGGGCGCCCCCGAAGGUCUCCAAACACUGCAUCUUUGCGUCGGAGUUUGAAACAAAUGAAACAAAACUUUCAACAACGGAUCUCUUGGUUCUGGCAUCGAUGAAGAACGCAGC
rnacentral:misc_RNA from 1 species